rfam:Hordeum vulgare subsp. vulgare, WGS project CAJW01000000 data, contig: morex_contig_10818
CACCUACUCCCUCCGUCCGAAAUUACUUGUCAUAGAAAUAAAUGUAUCUAGACGUAUUUUACAUUUAGAUACAUCCAUUCCUUUUCAUUUUAAGGACAAGUAAUUCCGGACGGAGGGAGUAUUUA